rnacentral:lncRNA from 1 species
GAAAGGUGCCGAUCCUAUGCCGAUCCAUUCUCUCUGGGAUUAUAGGCAUGUGCCACUGCACCUGGCUCCAAAUGCCUUUUAUUGCUGAUUUGUUUUUUAGGCCACUGUGUAAUCACACCCUGUACUGGCGGUUUUGUCUCUUUAAUCUUUUUUAAUCUAGGACAGCUCCACUACUUUUCCCCCCAAUCAUUUUGAUCUUUUGAAGGGACCAAGCUGGUUGUUUUAUAGAACUGUCCUACAUCCUGGAUUUAUCAGAUUGUUUCCUGGUGGUGUCGUUUACUUGGUCUUCUGUUAUCUAGAUGUCCUGUAAACUAGAAGUUGGGUCAAACAGCUUGAAUGAGGUUCAGGUAAAACAUUUUUAGCAAAAAUACAGCAGAGGUGAUGCUGGGUACCUCUUGUGAUGUCACAAGGAACCUACUGUUAGAGUGUCUCAUGAUAGGUUAAUGAUGCUGAAUUUGACCAUGGGUUAAGGUAGUGGCUACCACGUCUCUCCAUUGGAAGCUCUUCCUACCCUAUUAAUUAUAUUGUGUAUUAGUCCAUUUUCUGUUGCUAAUAACAAUACCAUACACUGGAAAAAUUAUAAAGAAAAAAGGUUCGUUUGUGCUCACAGUUCUAGAUGUGCAAGAUCAAGAAGCCACAUUUGCUUUUUUUGGCUUUCUUGCUGGCAGUGUCCCAAGGUGGUAUAAGGCAUCAUAUGUCAAGAGACAGAGAGGCACUGGAAUGUAGCUCAGUGAUACAGCACUUGCCUAAGCACAUGCAUAAGGUCCUUGGUUCCAUUCCCAGCACCAUACAGAGAGAGAGAGAGAGAGCGAGCGUGCCUGGCGCAGCAGCGUACACCUAUAAUCCCAGAUAAUCAGGAGAAUCAAAAGUUUGUGUCCAACCUCAGCAACUUAGUGAGGUCCUAAAAAAAGAGAGACAGACAUGCAUACAUGUCUGUGUGCCACCAGCGUUCAAUCAUUCAGGCUCUACACUGAUGACUUUAUCUAAUCCUAAUCACCUCCCAAAAGCCCGAUCUCUAAACAUCAUAGAUUAAGUUUCCCC